GCCCUCAUGGUGUAGUGGUUUAACACCUGGAUGGCAUCUUGUUUCGGCAAGAGGCAGUUGGUUCGAAUCCAGCUGGGGACA
rfam:Thielaviopsis punctulata NODE_158, whole genome shotgun sequence.